rnacentral:rRNA from 1 species
GGUUCGAUUAUGGCUCAGAUUGGAACGCUGGCGGGAUGCUUUACACAUGCAAGUCGAACGUGGCAGCACGGACUUCGGUCUGGUGGCGAGUGGCGAACGGGUGAGUAAUGUAUCGGAACGUGCCUAGUAGCGGGAUAACUACGCGAAAGUGCAGCUAAUACCGCAUACGCCUUCGGGGGAAAGCGGGGACCUUCGGGCCUCGCACUAUUAGAGCGGCCGAUAUCGGAUUAGCUAGUUGGUGGGUAACGGCUCACCAAGGCGACGAUCCGUAGCUGGUUUGAGAGGACGACCAGCCACACUGGGACUGGAGACACGGCCCAGACUCCGCCGUGGAGGCAGCAGUGGGGAAUUUGGACAAUGGGAAACCCUGAUCCAGCCAUCCCGCGUGUGCGAUGAAGGCCUUCGGGCUGUAAAGCACUUUUGGCAGGAAAGAACGGCACGGAGAUACCUGCAAUCGACAACGAGAAUAAGCACCGGCUAACUACGUGCCAGCAGCCGCGGUAAUACGUAGGUGCAAGCGUUAAUCGCAAUUACUGGGCGUAAAGCGUGCGCAGGCGGUUCGGAAAGAGAUGUGAACCAGAGCUUAACUUUGGAACUGCAUUUUUAAUAACUAGCCGAGCUAGAGUGUGUCAGAGGGAGGUGGAAUUCCGCGUGUAGUAGUGAAAUGCGGUGAGGAGGUGGAGGAACACCGAUGGCGAAGGCAGCCCUCCUGGGAUAACACUGACGCUCAUGCACGAAAGCGUGGGGAGCAAACAGGAUUAGAUAAUUCUGGUAGUCCACGCCCCAAACGAUGUCAACUAGCUGUUGGGGCCUUCGCCUUUGUGCGCAGCUAACGCGGUGAAGUUGACCGCCUGGGGAGUACGGUCGCAAGAUUAAAACUCAAAGGAAUUGACGGGACCCGCACAAGCGGUGGAUGAUGUGGAUUAAUUCGAUGCAACGCGAAAACCUUACCUACCUUUGACAUGUUCAAUCCUGCGAAGAGAUUUGGGAGUGCUCGCAAGAGAACCGGAACACAGGUGCUGCAUGGCUGUCGUCAGCUCGUGUCGCAGAUGUUGGGUUAAGUCCCGCAACGAGCGCAACUUUAAUAGCUGCUGAAAGGGCACUCUAAUGAGACUGCCGGUGACAAACUGAUAAAGGUGGGAUGGCGUCAAGUCCUCAUGGCCCUUAUGGGUAGGGCUUCACACGUCAGUUAAUGGUCGGAGAGGCCCAACCCGCGCAGGGAGCAAUCCAGAAACCCGAUCGUAGCCUGGAUCGUAGUCUGCAACUCGACUGCGUGAAUUAAUCGCUAGUAAUCGCGGAUCAGCAUGUCGCGGUGAAUACGUUCCCGGGUCUUGUACACACCGCCCGUCACACCUGCGGGGAGUGGGUUUUACCAGAAGUAGUUAGCUCAGAACCCGGGGUGAGGCGAUUAUCACGGUAGGAUUCAUGAUCGGGGCGAAGCUCAUCAGCAGUAG